CUUUAUAUUUAUAUUAUAUUAUUAAAAAAUUUAUUUAAAUAUUUAUGUAAGUAAAAUAUUUAGCUGGGGCGGCGAGUUAAAAAUUAAAUUAACUUUUCAUUUAUAAGUCACUUAUGUGUGAAUAUAAUAGAUCCUUUUUUAAGAUUAAAAGAAAAGUU
rnacentral:rRNA from 1 species